UACCUGAUCCUCGGGAGGGAUUUUCCUUUUCUGAUAGAUCUUCUCCUUGAUGUACUCGACGGUUUGAAAGCAGCUGUCAACAGAGAAGCGGAUUAACAUCCUGGGGUAAAAACAGUAGACCUUCACCUUGAAGCUUCCCUCCAUGCAGGCAAAUAAGACAUCCCUGUUCUCCACACCGCACUCUUGGAGGGUGGAGCUGUCGCAGAGGGGAGCAUUAAUACCCCCACCUCGCAGGAAGAGCACGAGAUUCUCCUUGGGGAUCCAGGGAUAGGGUUCCAGCAUCGACUUGAGAG
rnacentral:misc_RNA from 1 species